rnacentral:ncRNA from 1 species
AGGAGCCGUAUGAGGUAAAAGUCUCAUGUACGGUUCUCAAUGGGAGGGAUAGACCUCACGGUCUAUCUCGAC